UGAAAUAACUUCUUUUUCCUUGCUCUUAAGGUGACUGUUGGUUGUUGGCUGCCAUUGGUUCCCUGACUCUCAAUGAGGAACUCUUGCAUCGGGUUGUGCCCCAUGGACAGAGCUUCCAGGAGGACUAUGCGGGUAUUUUCCAUUUCCAGAUAUGGCAAUUUGGUGAAUGGGUAGACGUGGUAAUAGAUGAUAGAUUACCAACCAAGGAUGGAGAACUUGUUUUUGUGCACUCAGCAGAGUGUCAAGAGUUUUGGAGUGCUUUGCUGGAAAAAGCUUAUGCCAAGUUGAAUGGCUCUUAUGAAGCCCUGUCUGGGGGCAGCACCACAGAAGGCUUUGAAGAUUUCACAGGUGGUGUGGCGGAAAUGUAUGAUCUCAAGAGACCACCACGCAAUUUAUCUAAAAUCAUUCACAAGGCCCUUGACAGAGGAUCUCUGCUUGGCUGUUCCAUUGAUGUAAGAAGUGC